UACAGAGGGUGCGAGCGUUAAUCGGAAUUACUGGGCGUAAAGCGUGCGUAGACGGCUAUCUAAGUCGGGUGUGAAAGCCCCGGGCUCAACCUGGGAAUUGCAUUCGAGACUGAAUAGCUAGGGUACGGUAGAGGGAAGCGGAAUUUCCGGUGUAGCGGUGAAAUGCGUAGAUAUCGGAAGGAACACCGGUGGCGAAGGCGGCUUCCUGGACCGACACUGACGCUGAGGCGCGAAAGCUAGGGGAGCAAACGGG
rnacentral:rRNA from 1 species